rnacentral:lncRNA from 1 species
AAUAUUUUAUCAUGAAUCAUGCAUCAUUGAUGCCAUGCUAUGUUAGGGUGCAUUGCAUUAGUGCACACGAAUAUGUUGCAUUGCAUUAUCCUUGUACCUAGCACUGCUCCAUGUACAUUGCUUUAUGUGCGGUACGGACAUAGUUUUGGAUUCAUUAGCCCUCGUAGGAAAGUCCUGGAACAGCCCUGAGGGGACCAGGCACAGGGUACUUCGGUACUAGUGAUUGAGAUGAAGUCCUGAG